AAGUAGUGCCUAUGCGCUAUUUAGUGGCAAACGGGUGAGUAACACGUAGCUUAGCUGUCCUAAAGUGGGGGAUAGCCGCGGGAAGCCGCGGGUAAUACCGCAUGUGAUCUACGGAUUAAAGCUUAAUGCGCUUUAGGAGGUGGCUGCGGCCCAUCAGGUUGUUGGCGGGGUAAUGGCCCACCAAGCCUAUGACGGGUAUCCGGCCUGAGAGGGUGAUCGGACACAUUGGAACUGAGACACGGUCCAGACUCCUACGGGAGGCAGCAGCUAGGAAUUUUCCGCAAUGGACGAAAGUCUGACGGAGCAACGCCGCGUGAAGGAUGAAGGUCUUUAGGGAUUGUAAACUUCUUUUAUAUGAGACGAGUAAGGACGGUAUCAUAAGAAUAAGUCCCGGCUAACUACGUGCCAGCAGCCGCGGUAAUACGUAGGGGGCUAGCGUUGUUCGGAAUUACUGGGUAUAAAGGGUGCGCAGGCGGAUUUCUAAGCAAGAGGUGAAAUGUCAAGGCUCAACCAUGGCACUGCCUUUUGAACUGGUUAUCUGGAGUACAGAAGGGGAGAGCAGAAUUUCCGGUGUAGGGGUGGAAUCUAUAGAUAUCGGAAGGAAUACCGUUCGCGAAGGCGGCUCUC
rnacentral:rRNA from 1 species